AGGCGCUGUCGAUGGUUUUCGCAUACAGACCCUUGCGUAAUAGGUGUGUGUCCCACUUUACUUACCUUGUUCUCACUGUAUACACUGCAUAAGCAAGCCUAAAUAUCACCGCCAUCCUCCACACUCAUAAGCUACUUCUUGAACACCGACUGCCUCAGUAUACAUAAACCAUCCCAGCUGGUCAAAAGACCGGAAGUCGCUCUUGCUGGUCGUUGAUGACGAAUCGAUAGGCCAACACACAAAACCCCGCACAACUGGGGAUGGAGCAAACAUUGUGGCUUUGUUCAUCAGCACACCCACAGGCCGUGACCGGAACGAGU
rnacentral:sRNA from 1 species